rnacentral:rRNA from 1 species
CUAGCAAGUCCAAUAUAACAAAAAGAAUUUUAGCUAAUAACCCCGAAACCAGGCGAGCUACCCUAAAGCAGCAAUAUGAGCGAACCCGUCUCUGUGGCAAAAGAGUGGGAAGACUUUAAGGUAGAGGCGACAAACCUAACGAGCCUUGAUAUAGCUGGUUACUUGAGAAUGAAUUUAAGUUCAACUAAAAGCAUCAACAACUCCUAAAGUAUAAAUAUUGCUUUUAUUUUAAUCAACUGAGGUACACCUCACUUGAUAAAGGAAACAGCCUAAAUUAAUGAGUACCGAUUAUAAUUAAUAAGGAAACAAGAUUAGUAGGCCUAAAAGCAGCCACCUUACAUAGCGUCAAAGCUUUACUUAUAAAUAACCUAAUAUUUUAAUAAAAAAUCUAAACUCACCCCAAAAAUCAAGUUAAUCUACACUAUAGAUAAACUACUACUAGAAUUAGUAACAAGAAAAAAAUUCUAAAAUACACGUGUAAAUCAGAAUGAAUAAAUCACUGAUAAUUAACUAAUACAUUUAUAUAAACAAGAAAUAUAAAACUAAAAAAUAGUUAACCCAACACAGGAGUAUUAUUAACGAUUAAAUGUCUGAAAAGGAACUCGGCAAACUAGAGAUC